rnacentral:lncRNA from 1 species
UGUGAACACCACAGAUGAACUUUUUUCCAUUUUGCAGGAUGUUGUCACCAACACUGAAAUCUGUCAACUGACUAUCGCUUGGAGUCAGCUGAACUGCUUAUACCACAUACAGGGGAAAAGCAUAAAUGUGUGUUUGACUUCCAUGAAAUUAAUUAUAGAUGAGCUACUAAAGAGAGAGCAAGAAGAAAAGUGAGAGCUGAGAAAAUAACAAUUUAAAUCUUAUGAGCAAUUCUGCCUGCCAGUCUCUUCACUGCUCACAUGACCUACAAUAGUGUUGUCCAGGAGGAAGAAAAUGAAUCCCUGGAGUGUGUACUACACCCAUCUUUAUCAUCUCAAAUCUCAUCUCACAGACAGUGAACUCAUCUUUGUUGUCAGCAUCAGUCAUGAUGGUGAUCAACGUUAUUACUAUCAGAGCUGGGCAAGAAUACCCAGGAUGCAUGAUUCGUGCUAUCUUUUCAAGAUGAAUGAUAUCAGGAAGCUAUCAAGAUUAGAAAGAAAUUUCAAAGUAAUAUUUUUUCACCUUUAUCUCAUAUUUUUAUUUCAAUUUUACAAUAUUUUAUCAUGUGCAAAACAUACUAGAACACUGGUGUGCAUGGGUAUGUGAAAUAUAUAAAUAUGUGUAUAUAUAUGUGUGUGUGUUUAUAUAUACUUAUAUAUAUGAAAUGCUCACCCUUCAUGUUUUAGCUCUAAGAGUGAGUAAUCAAACAGUGUAAAGGUAGCUAAUGUAUUAUGGAAAUUACCCUUGAGGUCAGGUCACAUCAGCUUGAGUUAUACCCGCUAUCUAAAAUAUAGCAUAUGUGGGAAGGUGACUCAUGUUAUUAACAAGACCAGAGCUGGGAGGGGGUCUCUCCUCCUGAGCUCCAGAUGAGGACCCUAGAGGCUGAAGUGAGCCUUCAUGCCAG